GCAGUGGUGAUUCAGCAUUUGAAUUCUUACCUUUUAUGCAGGAGACCUGGGUUUGAUUCCUGGCCAGUGCA
rnacentral:tRNA from 1 species